AUUGAACGCUGGCGGCAGGCCUAACACAUGCAAGUCGAACGAGUGGCGGACGGGUGAGUAAUGUCUGGGAAACUGCCUGAUGGAGGGGGAUAACUACUGGAAACGGUAGCUAAUACCGCAUACCAUCAGAUGUGCCCAGAUGGGAUUAGCUAGUGGGUGGGGUAACGGCUCACCAAGGCGACGCUCCCUAGCUGGUCUUCGAGGAUGACCUGACACACUGGAACUAGGACACGGUCCAGAUUCCUAGGUGAGGCAGGAGGGGGGAAUAGUGCACAAGGGGGGAAAGCCUGAUGCAGCCAUGCCGCGUGUAUGAAGAAGGCCUUCGGGUUGUAAAGUACUUUCAGCGGGGAGGCGUUACCCGCAGAAGAAGAACCGGCUAACUCCGUGCCAGCAGCCGCGGUAUAC
rnacentral:rRNA from 1 species